CCUGGAUGCCCACCAUGGGGGAGCAGCUCACAGAUGCCUGCGGAGGAGGGGUGCUCAAGGAGGAAAGCCCCAGCUUGGGGUAUUGUCUACCCGUGUGGUAUUAAAGCAGCCGCCACAGCUGACUCCCACCUAUCACGUGAUGGGAUGGGAGGCAGCAGAGGCACUCAGCUGGUUUCCAGGAGCUAGCACACCACCAGACAGACCACCAGGGGCAAGAGAACGGAGACAGAAGAAGCAAUGCCGGAGCCAGGGAAGGAGGGAUGCCUGCGAGCCAGUCCUCAACGCUGGCAGGUAACAGUGCCACAGCUCUCUCCAGGCCUGGCCCAGGCAAGAAACCAGCCAGCGGGUAGCAGCACUCCCGACAGACGGCUGUGAGGACCCCGCGGCCUUGCCACCCCUCACCCGCUGUCUGCAUCCGGCAGGGCCUCUGUGGCAUCUCAGGAGAGCCGCCAGGCUCCCUCCCCUCCCCCGCCCGGCACAGGAAGCACUGACAUGGUAGCAAGAAAAGCCAGCGAUCUUGUCUUAGACCAUGGGUGUACUUCACGAGGACACUCAUCCAGACCUGAAACAGUUUAAGCACCGCUUAAGGCCCCAUACGCUGUUUCUUAGUGACCUGACAUGUAUUUUGAAAGAAUCAGAGAUAAAUAAAGGAUGACCUCACCACACAGGGUCUCCCAAAUCACUGAGGUGACAGGCGCACACGGUAUCUCAGACUCUGAGGCUCGGGCAGGCUGAAACGGAGCGUGAAGGAGCAUUCUCUCACGUCCUCAC